rnacentral:rRNA from 1 species
UACGGGGGGGGCAAGCGUUGUUCGGAAUUACUGGGCGUAAAGGGCUCGUAGGCGGCCAACUAAGUCAGACGUGAAAUCCCUCGGCUUAACCGGGGAACUGCGUCUGAUACUGGAUGGCUUGAGUUUGGGAGAGGGAUGCGGAAUUCCAGGUGUAGCGGUGAAAUGCGUAGAUAUCUGGAGGAACACCGGUGGCGAAGGCGGCUAUCUGGACGACAACUGACGCUGAGGCGCGAAAGCGUGGGGAUCAAACAGG